AAUUACUUCUUUUCUGUUUUUAGAUUUCACAUCAAAAUCCAUUUUCAAAGGAGCUGCAGUGAAUAUUUUUAGGUCUCAAAGUUCUAUUUGAAUAAUUUGUGUGAUCCAUGCAUUUUAUUUGAAUUAGAUAUCUAAUUGACAUGAACUAAUGGGAAGAUGACAAAGGAGAAUCUUGUGUUCCUGUAUUGACAAUAUGAGCAAAGAAUGCAGCCAUAGAGGGUGAAGUAAUAAAUAUUUUAUUAUGACGCAAAAAUGUAUAUAAUUUUUUAAGCUGCGGAAAAAAU
rnacentral:lncRNA from 1 species